AUGCAAUAUAUUUUCCCUGCAAUAUAUAUAGGUUCUGGAAUCAUGCAGUACAAUGUGGCCGAGCUGGAGCUGUCAUGGAUCAACGCGCCUUCUGAAUUACCCAAACGCAGUGACUUUUGCCUUGUCAAGACAGAAGAUGGCAACCUGGGGUUUGUCAGCUACGACGCCGGUGGCCGUAUGUACAUGUGGAAAAGGGUAUUUGAUGCCAACGGAGCUGGGGAAUGGGCUCAACGCAGUGCCAUCAGUGAGCUGCUCCCUACUCGUGCCCUACCACCUUACCGCCGAUUCAUGGACGGUGCCAGAGUCGCUCUGUUCAGAACAUGCUCUGAAUUGCUUAUGGUUGAUCUCAGAUCACAUCGAGUCAGGAAGGUAAGCAUCGAGGGGUGCGAAGUCGAUAAGGUCAUUCCCUACAUGAGCUUUUACCGAAAAAGGCUUUCGCCCCGCUUUAUAAAUAAAGCAAACCGUCAAGAGCACACAUACACGGACUAG
rnacentral:rRNA from 1 species